UACGUAGGGGGCUAGCGUUACUCGGAAUUACUGGGCGUAAAGGGCGCGUAGGCGGCGCUCCAAGUUAGGCGUGAAAGUCCCGGGCUCAACCUGGGAACUGCGCUUGAUACUGGAGUGCUUGAGGAUGGAAGAGGGUCGUGGAAUUCCCAGUGUAGAGGUGAAAUUCGUAGAUAUUGGGAAGAACACCGGUGGCGAAGGCGGCGACCCGGUCCAUUACUGACGCUGAGGCGCGACAGCGUGGGGGAGC
rnacentral:rRNA from 1 species